rnacentral:rRNA from 1 species
UCUUGGUCAUUUAGAGGAAGUAAAAGUCGUAACAAGGUUUCCGUAGGUGAACCUGCGGAAGGAUCAUUACCGAGUGAGGGCCCUCUGGGUCCAACCUCCCACCCGUGUUUAUUUUACCUUGUUGCUUCGGCGGGCCCGCCUUAACUGGCCGCCGGGGGGCUUACGCCCCCGGGCCCGCGCCCGCCGAAGACACCCUCGAACUCUGUCUGAAGAUUGUAGUCUGAGUGAAAAUAUAAAUUAUUUAAAACUUUCAACAACGGAUCUCUUGGUUCCGGCAUCGAUGAAGAACGCAGCGAAAUGCGAUACGUAAUGUGAAUUGCAAAUUCAGUGAAUCAUCGAGUCUUUGAACGCACAUUGCGCCCCCUGGUAUUCCGGGGGGCAUGCCUGUCCGAGCGUCAUUUCUGCCCUCAAGCACGGCUUGUGUGUUGGGCCCCGUCCUCCGAUCCCGGGGGACGGGCCCGAAAGGCAGCGGCGGCACCGCGUCCGGUCCUCGAGCGUAUGGGGCUUUGUCACCCGCUCUGUAGGCCCGGCCGGCGCUUGCCGAUCAACCCAAAUUUUAUCCAGGUGACCUCGCUCAUCUAUGGAUGCAAAGGGC